rnacentral:tRNA from 1 species
AGGUUAAGACACCGCCCUUUCACGGCGGUAACAGGGGUUCAAUUCCCCUACGAGUCACCA